rnacentral:rRNA from 1 species
UGGGGAAUAUUGGACAAUGGGCGCAAGCCUGAUCCAGCCAUGCCGCGUGAGUGAUGAAGGCCCUAGGGUUGUAAAGCUCUUUCACCGGUGAAGAUAAUGACGGUAACCGGAGAAGAAGCCCCGGCUAACUUCGUGCCAGCAGCCGCGGUAAUACGAAGGGGGCUAGCGUUGUUCGGAUUUACUGGGCGUAAAGCGCACGUAGGCGGACUUUUAAGUCAGGGGUGAAAUCCCGGGGCUCAACCCCGGAACUGCCUUUGAUACUGGAAGUCUUGAGUAUGGUAGAGGUGAGUGGAAUUCCGAGUGUAGAGGUGAAAUUCGUAGAUAUUCGGAGGAACACCAGUGGCGAAGGCGGCUCACUGGACCAUUACUGACGCUGAGGUGCGAAAGCGUUGGGAGCAAACAGG